UACGGAGGGUGCAAGCGUUAUCCGGAUUCACUGGGUUUAAAGGGUGCGUAGGUGGGCAGGUAAGUCAGUGGUGAAAUCUCCGGGCUUAACCCGGAAACUGCAAUUGAUACUAUCUGUCUUGAAUACCGUGGAGGUGAGCGGAAUAUGUCAUGUAGCGGUGAAAUGCUUAGAUAUGACAUAGAACACCAAUUGCGAAGGCAGCUCACUACGCGAAUAUUGACACUGAGGCACGAAAGCGUGGGGAGCAAACAGG
rnacentral:rRNA from 1 species